AGCGGGCACUGCACAGUACAGACAGGUAUAUAGCGGGCACUGUACUGUACAGACAGGUAUAUAGCAGGCACUGUACUGUACAGACAGUUAUAUAACGGGCACUGCACUGUACAGACAGGUAUAUAGCGGGCACUGUACUGUACAGACAGGUAUAUAGCGGGCACUGUACUGUACAGACAGGUAUAUAGCGGACACUGUACUAUACAGACAGGUAUAUAGAGGGCACUGCACUGUACAGAAAGGUAUAUAGCGGGCAAUGCACUGUACAGACAGGUAUAUAGCGGGCACUGCACUGUACAGACAGGUAUAUAGCGGGCACUGUACUGUACAGACAGGUAUAUAGCGGGCACUGUACUGUACAGACAGGUAUAUAGCGGGCACUGCACAGUACAGACAGGUAUAUAGCGGGUACUGCACUUUACAGACAGGUAUAUAACGGGCACUGCACUGUACAGACAGGUAUAUAGCGGGCACUGUACUGUACAGACAGGUAUAUAGCGGGCACUGUACUGUACAGACAGGUAUAUAGCGGGCACUGCACUGUACAGACAGGUAUAUAGCGGGCACUGCACUGUACAGACAGGUAUAUAACGGGCACUGCACUGUACAGACAGGUAUAUAGCGGGCACUGUACUGUACAGACAGGUAUAUAGCGGGCACUGUACUGUACAGACAGGUAUAUAGCGGACACUGUACUAUACAGACAGGUAUAUAGCGGGCACUGUACUGUACAGACAGGUAUAUAGCGGACACUGCACUGUACAGACUGGUAUAUAGCGGGUACUGUACAGACAGGUAUAUAGCGGGCACUGCACUGUACAGACAGUUAUAUAGCGGGCACUG